rnacentral:rRNA from 1 species
ACGAACGCUGGCGGCGUGCCUAAUACAUGCAAGUAGAACGCUGAAGAGGGGAGCUUGCUCUUCUUGGAUGAGUUGCGAACGGGUGAGUAACGCGUAGGUAACCUGCCUUGUAGCGGGGGAUAACUAUUGGAAACGAUAGCUAAUACCGCAUAACAAUGGAUGACACAUGUCAUUUAUUUGAAAGGGGCAAUUGUUCCACUACAAGAUGGACCUGCGUUGUAUUAGCUAGUAGGUGAGGUAAUGGCUCACCUAGGCGACGAUACAUAGCCGACCUGAGAGGGUGAUCGGCCACACUGGGACUGAGACACGGCCCAGACUCCUACGGGAGGCAGCAGUAGGGAAUCUUCGGCAAUGGGGGCAACCCUGACCGAGCAACGCCGCGUGAGUGAAGAAGGUUUUCGGAUCGUAAAGCUCUGUUGUAAGUCAAGAACGGGUGUGAGAGUGGAAAGUUCACACUGUGACGGUAGCUUACCAGAAAGGGACGGCUAACUACGUGCCAGCAGCCGCGGUAAUACGUAGGUCCCGAGCGUUGUCCGGAUUUAUUGGGCGUAAAGCGAGCGCAGGCGGUUUGAUAAGUCUGAAGUUAAAGGCUGUGGCUCAACCAUAGUUCGCUUUGGAAACUGUCAAACUUGAGUGCAGAAGGGGAGAGUGGAAUUCCAUGUGUAGCGGUGAAAUGCGUAGAUAUAUGGAGGAACACCGGUGGCGAAAGCGGCUCUCUGGUCUGUAACUGACGCUGAGGCUCGAAAGCGUGGGGAGCGAACAGGAUUAGAUACCCUGGUAGUCCACGCCGUAAACGAUGAGUGCUAGGUGUUGGAUCCUUUCCGGGAUUCAGUGCCGCAGCUAACGCAUUAAGCACUCCGCCUGGGGAGUACGACCGCAAGGUUGAAACUCAAAGGAAUUGACGGGGGCCCGCACAAGCGGUGGAGCAUGUGGUUUAAUUCGAAGCAACGCGAAGAACCUUACCAGGUCUUGACAUCCCGAUGCUAUUUCUAGAGAUAGAAAGUUACUUCGGUACAUCGGUGACAGGUGGUGCAUGGUUGUCGUCAGCUCGUGUCGUGAGAUGUUGGGUUAAGUCCCGCAACGAGCGCAACCCCUAUUGUUAGUUGCCAUCAUUCAGUUGGGCACUCUAGCGAGACUGCCGGUAAUAAACCGGAGGAAGGUGGGGAUGACGUCAAAUCAUCAUGCCCCUUAUGACCUGGGCUACACACGUGCUACAAUGGUUGGUACAACGAGUUGCGAGUCGGUGACGGCGAGCUAAUCUCUUAAAGCCAAUCUCAGUUCGGAUUGUAGGCUGCAACUCGCCUACAUGAAGUCGGAAUCGCUAGUAAUCGCGGAUCAGCACGCCGCGGUGAAUACGUUCCCGGGCCUUGUACACACCGCCCGUCACACCACGAGAGUUUGUAACACCCGAAGUCGGUGAGGUAACCUUUUGGAGCCAGCCGCCUAAGGUGGGACAGAUGAUUGGGGUG